UAGAAUCACCAUAGGUUCACAUUUCAGCUAGUUUAAACACUUACAGUCCAGAAACUAGUAUGUAUGAAACAAGUUUCUGCUCUUCCUGGACUUUUCUAGACUUCCUCCAAUCUUGUAUGAUUUCUUCUGUCUUUUCCCUAAACGUUUAAUAUUUUUUUUUCUAAUGGACUGACCAUGAAAUCAAAGCAUAGUGACAAACAUCUUGCUUGCUUUGAUUGUUUGUGCUGGAUUCUUUAGAAAUAGUUAAUGAAGUCCCUGCAGAUUGUAGACCACAGACUGAAAAUCAUUUAAUAAUUCUCUUUGCAUGUGCCUUGCAGGUUCCUGGGACACAGCAUGCCCUUCAGCAGAAAAAUCAUGGUCAUACCUCACAAAUGCUUUAGUACAUUAUUUGAAACAGAAGGUGUGGUUUUUAGGUCAAGACAGAGGAGUAUGUAUGGCAAAAAGAGCCUGAUAGACAACAAAAAGGCUAAGUGACAUUUGGAGUAUGAUAAUUAAUUAUGUUCUUAAUUUCUUUUUGCAUUCAAAAAUUUUCCUUAUGAGGUGAGAGGUAAGUGCAUUUGUAGAGUAGAAAACACUGGUUAGAGUUCCUCUGCUGUGUCUAGGUUGGGUUUUUUUAAUGUUAAAUUUGGAUUAGGAACAGUGUGUGGCUGUUACUUUAUUCUUCAGUUAUAGUUUUAACUUUUGGCAAAGUCUUGAAGAUGUUUAUUUUUAUAGAUUGCAGAAAAUGAAAUAAAUAAAAACAAGCUAUUUGUAUAUCUUUGUGCUUGUAUAAUUCAAUGUCAUGACUAUGAGUUUCUCUAGUCAAAACCAGGACCCAGCAGCUGUUUACUUCUGCAGCUGUGGAGAACUCAAAUAAUACUUGAUAGUGUUAAAGGUACAAAAUAUUUUCAAAAAAAACCCCAUUGUCUUUGCUUCCAGUAAGAGAAAGUUAUUUAUGCAACCAGCUGCCAAAAGAUGAAACUCAUGUUAUAACACUGCAUUUUUCCAAGCAAGCCCAUCCCAGCAGCUGGGGAGGGGCUUACUACUCAUUUUCCUACUCUAGGAAAUACUUCCAUGUAGGGAAAAUUUAUUCUGAGACACAAAGACAUCAUUGUGGAUGAGCAUCCUGGACCUCUCUGUGCUGCUCCUGGCUCCAGUAAAGUCCUCAGCCCCAUUGCUUCAAUGAGCCUAAAUGGGUUUUACUGCUGGGAUCAGCUGCCAGCACUCUGGAGAAGAUAGAGGUUGACACUUGGAAUGGUGAUGCCUCAAAAACAAAAUGUGGAAAGAGACUACUUGCUGGAAGAAAACACAGUUCCUUGAAACAGUGCACACAAGACCACCUGAGCUUCUCCAAGGACCCAGAAAAGCCGGUCUUGUGGCCAGCUACAGUAAAUGUAUGGUGACUUAUGGGAAUUGACUAAAGGUCAAUUUUCAGCAGCUGUGGUUCUGAUCCUGUGUGUAGAGAAUGCAGUGAAGUGUAUUUUUUUAAAUCUUGAAACUACUGCUAGAACACAGUAAUUGUAAAGAUUAUUUUAUCUGCCCACAGGAAAUUUACUUAACCAGCUUCCAGUAACUUCUACUUAUCUUCACCAUGUCCUAUCUGAAUUCUUUAAAUACCGCUCCUAAGUAACACUGACUUAAAAACCACCCUCCCCCAUAUUUAAAUGCAGGUGUCCUAACCUCUCUAGGUAAGAAAUAACAUGGAGUUUUAAUAGUUUUCAAGUAACAAUAUUCUAAAUUGGAACCCAGCAAUUGCAAUUGAUGAUCACUGGCCAAAAAAAAGAAUGAUCACAACAUCCUCUUCCUGGGAGCACCAAAAUAGGAAUAGGUUACUUUUAAUAGGAAUAGGUUACUUUUGUCAAUGUAGUACUCUUGCCUCUUCCAAGGGAAGCACUGAGGAAACUUGAAGGUGGCAUCAAGCAAAAUGAGUUGGGGGUUUUUAUGCAUUCUGAGAGACAAAGGCCACAGAUCUAUUAAUUUAUUUUUUUAGGUAUGAGGGUUUAUCGUGUGAACUCCUUAGCUAAGGGUAGCAUAGAUUGUAAAGGUUUCUCUAAGUUCAGAAAGUGUUUCUACUGCAUCAUGAAGGAAAAAUUUACCAAGUGCUAUUGUACACAAAGACAUCAUAUCUGGCUCAGGCUGUCCUUGAGUGCAAAUCACUGGAAGCUACCAGAUAUGUUAAUAACAUGCUGUAAUAUAUGUAAUUUGCAUCUUGUCCUUUGCAACAAUUACUGGCUACAGCUGGAAACAAAGUACUGGGUCUGAAGGACUUUUUUUCUGAUUUGGCAGAGACUUUUAACUCUUGUGCUUUUCUGCACAUUUCUAAUUUAGGCACAGCAGACAGCAAUGAAGACCUAUUUUGCCUGUUCUAUAGCAACAGGCUAGAAAAUUUGCAGUGCCUGUGUCAGGCUCAGUGGCAUCAGUUUAACAUACAUGCCUAUCUCCAUUCUUCCAAGUGCUUUUGUAUGAGUACACAGGUUACUGCAUUCAAACCCAGUUCUUGCUCAUGGAAUCCCACCCGUGCACCAGUGGGCAAGCAUGGGUACUAGACUGUCAAAUAUAGCUGGCAUCAUCCUAAUGACAUCCUGUACACUUCUGACUUGAAAGCUACUCCAGUGGUUCUUCACAAGAGCUCUGAAAUGCUUGGGCCACAGAUAUUACCCUCAGCAUAUCUAUCCACCUUCCUGUCACACACUUGUGAUUUGAACAUCAUGUGGAAAAUUGUUUCUGAGCUUCAUUAUUUCCUCUGUGAGAAAUUAGCAAUGUGGUUCUUAUCUGAAUUUGCCAAACCAGCCACCAGAUAUGAUUUUACGUUUCUGCUACAUAUAAGAAAGAUGAGUCUUUCUUAUCAGAAAUACGUUCCCAUGAAGAUAUUUCUGGAUCUGAUCAAAUGGUCUUUUGGCCAUCUCUUUAGUAAACUAAAGAGGGGUUAAGGACCUCUGAUGAGAAAUAACAAAACUGUUUUGGGUUAAUGAGUACUGUUCAGCAGCUGAGCUGCAGCGAUGAGUUGCUCUUGUGCUCUGAGCUUGCUGCAAGCAGAGGCAGUAUGUGCAAGCCUAAGUCACCAUGAACUGUAUUUUAUUUGACAAUUGGAGCAACCUAAGAGGUCACCUUCCAACCCAGUCAGUGAGCAGCAACCCCCUUGAUUUGGAUUUGUGUCUGAGCUUUGGACUGAUUUAUCCUCUUUGUGUACAUUCAGUGCCUUGUCACAAAGCUCAGGGUACUGAAGUGACUAUGAUACAGAUUUCUCAUUUUUAAGUAAAGUCAAAGGGAAGACAUGGGAAGGGCAGAGAAUGGAUUUUGCACUGUUAUGUACCUCCCAGCCACAAUUACAGUUUGAAAACAAGCCAGAGGAUUUGUACUAUUGGGAAUACUUGGGACAUUUAUUUGAGGUUUAGAGAGAAAUUCCAUGUGGUUCCCACAGUAUGACUUUUCUCAGACCUUUGAAAGAGGUGAUUUAAAAUGUCCUCUAUAAUUAAAUAAUUAUAACUAGAAACAACUUCCUCUUGUUUGCAAUUUAGCUAUAUUAAAUUUGUCUCUAUCAUUUUAGUCUGAAGGAACUGGGAAUCCACUUCAUUAUUGGCUUCUUUGGAGAAAUCAAGAAAUAAUGUUCUUCUGAGAGGUGGCACCCAAAUGCUUCAAGCUUCUCAUGUUCUAUCACUGUAUCAGCCCUGGGCCAGGGUAGUGAGGGUAAAGAAAUAUUUCUUCCUGAUGAGUUUAUCAACAGCAUCUCAUCAUCAGGGAACCUAAUUAUUCUGGAUAAAUGCUGCUUGAAGUUCUGGAGUUCUUAUGAGCGCAGAUUUUAUAUAAAUAGAAAAGCUAUUGUAAGAGGAUAUAAAAUCAUAAAGCCUUUUCAAUCAGGUAGGUCACUGGUUUGCAGAGGGUUGGGUUUUUUUUGGAGGUUGACCCGAUCUAAAGCUUAUGGAAGUCAGUGCAAAAACUCCAAAGAGAAUCUUGGCUUUAAUUCAAGGAAUUAAGUUGUAUUCCUUAAUGCCAUAGGAUAUUAUUGCACUAAAGAGCUUAUUAAGAUUAAAAUGGGAUUAGGCAUUACUACGAAUGAAUGCAAAAAGUUUACAUGGCUGGGAUAAAGCUUCCAAAUUUAUUCCACAUUUCAGGGAAAUGGUUCCAGACUGAAGCAAAGAAAGAUAUAUUGCAUAUCAUAGUAUUACACACAACCCAGUGCAUGUUGUGCCUUCUAAAGUGAGAAACCUGGCACUAAUGGUGGGAUGUAGAACAAAAAUCUUACUGUAUUUUCCAAAGAAGCAGUUCUCACUGAAGAGUGAAAUGAAAAUGUCUAAUGUGCUUCAAUGUUCUUUGUUUUGAGCUUGAGAUUUUGCUGUUUUUUUAAUAUGUAUUUUUCAGCAGCUGAGAACCCAGCAUCUUACUUUGUCUUGUUAUCAGAAGCUUACAGAUGGCUGUUAAACAGUGUUUCCUAUAUAUGUAGCUUUGAUAUUGUAAUGCUGAGCAUGAGCUGAGCAUGAGCAUGAAUUUAAUAUGAAAAGAAAACUUACUUUCUAUACAUCACUAGUGUAUAGCUUGAGAGGCAACAGCAAUGGAGAUGGCCCAGCGUGACUGCCCUGACUCCUGCAGCAGCUACGCCUGUUCUGUACCAGAUGUUCUCUGCAGGGGAUUCUUGGAUGCUUUCUACAACACAGUCACAAAUGUACUAUCAGAGCCUUCCCAGUUCCCAUGGGGCCCAUGUUUUCCCAAGGAAGGUAUUUGUCAGGACUUCUUGAUAACAGCUACUUAAUAUUUUGAUGUUAUUUUCAGACAGUUUUGCCUUGUUUCAUCCUCGCUAAUAUUUGUCCUCCUUUGUUAUCUAUAUUCUACAGCUACCUCCAGGUGGGAAUCAUAACUACACUUGACUAUUUCAGGGGGCUGUGCACGCUGGAGCAACUUCCUUGAUGCCUGUGAAGUCCUUACUCCUCCUUUUUUCAUUUUUGUCUACUCUUCAUUCCCCUUCUACAUGAGUUCAAAAUACAGAACAGUUUAUCAGCUUCUGUCCUUAAAAUGCCUAGAACUGAUUGGAGCCUUGUGGAUAGGGAUGCAAUGGUGUUAAAAUCCCCCCAGAUUUAUCAUGCUAUAGCUCCUCAUGGUAGUCUUUCAGUACAGGCAGCUUUAGUUCAAAAUUGCCUCCUUUGCUGACCAUAUUUCAUUCCAAUGUAAUUAUUGUCUUGCUUUUCCUUUGCUCUUGUCUUAGACUGAUGCUUACCAGAUCAUCUAGCUUAAUGUUUGUGUUUGAAAGGACUUUCCCCGAUGCCUCCAUCUGCGUGCUCCUCAUCCCAGCUGUCUAUGGGUGACCUGGCCAUGUACUGACAUUUUCAAGACUGACUGUGCUGCGUCUUUGCAGUGGCCCCUAUUAGUGAAGUUCAGUAUCCUCAGGCUAGAGUAAUACACUUGCUUGGAGACCAGGCUUAUAACUAAUUCAUUAGUUCACAGUGAUGUACUUACGAAGUGCCUAGCAUGGAAAGACCUUGAUCCCAGUGAAUGUUUCUGGUAAAACUGCAGUUGCUAAAGCCAGAUCUCAUACAACUUGUUGUUUUCCACAUGUUUGGCCUUCUGUUAUUUUUCUUCCCUUACUUUCAGACCUGCAGCCAGUCCCCUGGUGCAGACAGAUGCAAGAUUGCUAUGCCCAUGCCAGCAGCUGUCUGGAUGAUGCAGAUUUGAGCUGGCUUGAAUACAAAUAGCUUUUGUGAGAUGAGAAAAUGUGUUUGCCUUCUUCCUGUGCCUAGAGAAACCAAUGUGUUGUUUUGAUCAAGCAAUGGGAGUUUGUGCCUCAGGACACUGGUGGGGCACAAACCUCUGUAUGGCUGAGGAACUGGCCUUGCCUUCCAUCUGCCUACAGCCUGUUUGCCCCUCUACAGCCUCUGUAAACCUGCCUAGGUCAUACUUCCAAGAGAUGUGUUCCAGCAGCCUUCAAUGAUGAGGGUUUUAAUGGUCCUGGGAUUUCUAUCUGUUGCUCCUUUUGGUGUCCUGUCCUUCUCCAGAGGUGAGGAGAAGUAAAACACGGGCUUAUCGAGUUCUAAUAAUGCAAGACAUAGAUUUUCCCACUGAUGUUAUUCCUGCUUACCUACUCUGUCACCCACGAUUACAGGGUCAGUAUGGUGGUAGUCUGGAGCUCCCACCCUUUGAUGUGUUUUUCUCCAAGCUGUCUUGGAUAGACAACUGCACAACCUUCCUGGAUGGUCGUGCAGCCACUGCCUCACACAGAGAGCAAGGUCUCUUGUAAGGGACCAAGUUCAGUUUGCUCAGUGCUUUAUAAAUUAUUUGUGCCUUGUGUGGAUGCUCUUCUUCAGUAUCAUAACAGGCUCUGAAUUCCUUCAAGUGCUCCUUGGCUGGCUGCUAUACCCUCCGUGUCUGGCACAGACCACAGGGCGAAGCCUGUAUACAGCUUUGUCAAACAGCUUUCUGGGGCUUCACCACAUUCCUUCCCUGUGUUUUCCAUGUUCUUGAAGGUAUCUUUCCUUCCUGUGGAUUUUUCCUGUGCUGACCACUGUCCUGACCAAGGUCUCAGGGUGCCAAAAGCAUUCUUCAUUCUCAGUGCCUUCCUGUCUAAAGUCCUCACUCUUCACAGUGCACUGUAGUUCAUCUAUUUCUGUCAUAUCCCUUGUCUGCUUUGACAUCUGGACAUCUGUUGUAUGCUGAGUAUGUGCUGGUGAUUGCUAUGCUCAGCCACUUCAUUUACAGCCUCAGGAAUGUGAGAGGCCCUCAGAAAAAUGCCAGAGGCAAGAAUGUGUUUGAAAAUUCCUGAAGGCUUGGAUAGAGAAGGUAUUAUUUUCACCCAGGAGGAGCAGCAACACCAAAAUUCUCACCAUAGUUAUGCUAAACUUCAAGAAGAGGAACAACAUAAAAUGUGAGAGCACAUGUUAAAGGAUAGAGAAUGUUCAAAGACAAAAGACUUUUAAUUGGACACCCAGUAAUGAGUUGCAAGAAAAAAACUCCAAAGGCGGCACGAAAGAAAACACUUGUAAGGCUGAGAUUUGACAGCAUAACACAAGAAGGCAAUUGCACUUGACCAUCUUGAAACCCCUAUGGACACCUAGAAAGUUCAGCAACAGAAAGAAGCAAAAGGAGAUGAGUGUUUGCAGCUCUGUCUUGCAGUCAUGGCAAUGAGGAGGAACUAAGUGGCAUUCACAUCUCAGCAAUUUUUUGCUAUAGGGUAGAAAACAUGCUGACAUUCAUUUGCACAGAGUCGUAGAAGAUGUAACUGGCCAAAAGACUUCAGCCUGAAGGGAACCAUGUGCAACACUUUUGGGAGAAUAUACCAGUCAUCGCUCAGGAAAAAACUGCUUCUCAGAUGAUAUCACAGCCAGUCUUUAUUGCCUAUUGUUCAGGGAUAAAUAGCUGGUUUUCUGUAAUGAGAGGUGAUAAGUGACUUUCAGGACUUUCCCCAGGAAAGG